rnacentral:rRNA from 1 species
AGCUACCGCUAUUGGAGUUCGAUUAAGCCAUGCGAGUCGCGAGUCUUAGGGACUCGGCGUACCGCUCAGUAACACGUGGGUAACCUGCCCUAUGCUGGGGGAUAACCUCGUGAAACUGAGAAUAAUACCCCAUAGUUCACCUCGCCUGGAACGGUGGGUGGACCAAAGCUCCGGCGGCAUAGGAUGGGCCUGCGGCGUAUCAGGUUGUAGGGGGUGUAAUGUACCCUCUAGCCCUCUACGCGUACGGGUGUUGAGAGACAUCGCCCGGAGAUGGAUUCUGAGACACGAAUCCAGACCCUACGGGGUGCAGCAGGCGCGAAAACUUGGCAAUGCGAGAAAUCGUGACCAGGGAACUCCAAGUGCAUCGGGUAAGACCGAUGCUUUUCUUGACUCUUCAAAGGUCUUGGAAUAAGGGGUGGGUAAGGACGGUGCCAGCCGCCGCGGUAAUACCGGCGCCCCAAGUGGUAGUCGCUUUUAUUGGGCCUAAAACGUCCGUAGCCGGUCUGGUACAUUCGUGGGUAAAUCAACCAGCUCAACUGGUUGAAUUCUGCGAGCACGGCCAGACUUGGGACCGGGAGAGGUGUGGGGUACUCUCAGGGUAGGGGUAAAAUCCUGUCAUCCUGAGAGGACCACCUGUUGCGAAGGCGCCACACUAGAACGGAUCCGACGGUCAGGGACGAAGCCUAGGGGCACGAACCGGAUUAGAUACCCGGGUAGUCCUAGGUGUAAACGCUGUGGACUUGAUGUUGGGGGCGCUCCGAGCGCACUCAGUGUCGAAGCGAAGGUGAUAAGUCCACUGCCUGGGGAGUACGGUCGCAAGGCUGAAACUUAAAGGAAUUGGCGGGGGAGCACCGCAACCUGAGGAUUGUGCGGUUUAAUUGGAUCCAACGCCGGAAAACUCACCAUAGCCGACGGACAUAUGAAGGCCAGCGUAAUGAGCUUGCUGGAUUGUUCGAGAGGUAGUGCAUGGCCGUCGUCAGUUCGUACCGCAAGGCGUUCUGUUAAGUCAGAUAACGAACGAGACCCUCAUCCCUAUUUGCUAACCCGAUCUCCGGAUCAG